CAGCAGCCACGGUAAUACGGAGGGUGCAAGCGUUAAUCGGAAUUACUGGGCGUAAAGCGUGCGUAGGCGGUUCGUUAAGUCUGUUGUGAAAGCCCCGGGCUCAACCUGGGAAUGGCAAUGGAUACUGGCGAGCUAGAGUGUGUCAGAGGAUGGUGGAAUUCCCGGUGUAGCGGUGAAAUGCGUUGAGAUCGGGAGGAACAUCAGUGGCGAAGGCGGCCAUCUGGGACAACACUGACGCUGAGGCACGAAAGCGUGGGGAGCAAACAGGAUUAGAUACCCCUGUAGUCCCUGUCUCUUAUAC
rnacentral:rRNA from 1 species